UAAUAAUGCUCACCCCUCACACAUGUACUCGUGCACAUGCAUCUCUUACACAUGCACACAUAUAUGUAUACAUAUACACACGUUAUAUUCUUUUUUUUCUCACAUUUUCACAAUUUUCUGAAACUUACUGAGGAUAAAAUAAUUUAUUUCAUAUAAACACCUCUCUCUUUCUCUCUCUACGACAUUGUCAUCACCAACCAUAAGAAACAUCAUUAUCGUUAUCAUCAUCAUCAAUAAUGCCACUGGCAAACACUGCAUCUAAGUAACCCUAACUACUGACCAUCAUCAUCGAAAACUUACCUUGCAAUCUGUAACCACCACUAUAACUACUACAGUCCCUGUAUUCACUGGUAGCUUCUACCUGUGUUUAAAUAUAUUGUUACUAUCUCAUACCAUUGGCAACCAUAUCCUCCACUGCCACCACUACCACUGCUCUCAUCUUACUACAAUCCACUAACACUACUACUACUACCUAUACCACUAACACUUCUGCCACCUUCACAGUUACAAGAACAUCAGCUUAUACUGAACCUACAAUAAAUGGCAAAGAAUAAUAAUAAUAAUAAUAAUAAUAAUAAUAAUAGUAAAUGGCAUUUUUCACAAGAGCAUGGCCAGAAAUUUGGGCAUGGGAACAGUCAAUUAAACCAAACCCACCAAUCAAAACAGUUCAUCUAUUUAGUUAAUCCCCUGAAUUUUAUUUUGGGUUUUUUUUAAAAUUUGUAUUAAUCUUAUUUAUUAAUUUUUUAUGGUAUUAUAUUUUUUCUUCCCUUUUUGAAACAUCGUUAUUCUUUUAUUGCCCAUGGAAAAUAAGAAGAGCUUUCAUUACUUAUGAAAACUGAUGAGAGCUUUCAUUGCCAAUGAAUGGUGAAGGGAACAUUGCCUAUAAAAAUGAAGGGUGCUUUAAUUACCCAUAUACAAUGAUGGAAACUUUCAUUGUCCAUGAAAAUUGGUGUGAUCUUUCAUGAAAAAAUGACAGGAGCAUUCAUGAGCUCUCUAAAAGGAAAUAGAUGUAUUUUCAUUUGUUUUUUUUUUUCUCUUGUUUAUAUAUUUUUCUUUUUCAUCAUCCAUGAAAGAUGAUGACAACUUUCAUUGCUUUAUUUGAUCAUAUCUUUUUUUUAUUUUAUUUUUUUUGUUCGAAUUUUUCUUUGUUACCUGUGAAAUAAGAGGUGAUGCUCCUAUCAGCUGCGAAGUUGAGGCAUAACACUUAUCCACCAUGAAACAGGGGGUGGGAGACUUUUAUUACUUAUGUAACUGGAGGAAGAGCUCUAAUCACCUGUAAAAUAAGAGGGGUACAUUUUAUCAGUUGUGUAAUUGGAGAGGAAGGUUUCAUCACCUGUCAAGAAGUGAGGGCCUCAGGUGUGACUCCCAAAAUAAUUUACUUGUUCAACCACUUCACUAGUUUUUACACAUUCAAAAAAAAAGUCAGGUGUCUCCCAUAUUCUUUACACCCAUUGUACUCAUGAAACUACAUCUUCUGUCAGUCGACUGGCUUUUAUGCAAAAAUGCACAUCAUAUCCUUUGUUUUAUAUUUUUUGAUAGUUUCGUCUUGAGAUGGUGAAUCAGCAGAGUUAGUAGAGCAUCAAAUAUAAUGCCUUGUGACAUUUAUUUUGGCUCUGCAGACUUAGAGUUCAAUUCCCACUGAGGUUAACUUUGUCUUUCAUCCGUUUGGGAUUGAUAAAGUACCAGUCAUGUGCUGGUAUCAGUUCUUCGGCGAGCUGGCAGAAACGUUAGCAUGCCGGGUGAAAUGCGUAGCCGUAUUUCGUCUCCCGUUACGUUCUGAGUUCAAAUUUCGCUGAGGCUGACUUUGCCUUUCAUCCUUUCGGGGUCGAUAAAUUAAGUACCAGUUACGCACUGGGGUCGAUGUAAUUGACUUAAUCCGUUUGUUUGUCCCCUCUGUGUUUAGGCCCCUUGUGGGUAGUAAAGAAAUAGUUAUCAGUUCUUCUUCGUCUUCUUCUUCUCUGUCUUUCUCUCUGGACUGUAGUUGUGACUCAAAGGUCCAGCCAUGUCACAUUUUGUUACACUGAUUCAGCCAGAGAAUUACAUUAACAGUACUCAUAUCUCAAUAAUACUCAGCCACCCACAUGUUGGAAUUUCACUUGGUUAAACACCAAAAUGCUCAUCACCACAACUGACAGAGAAUCCACCAGAGUUUGAUCAUGUAGUUUCUGAUCAUAUGUGAGUGUGUGUGUGUAUGUGACUGUAUUUAUACAUGUAUGUCUAUAUGUGUUUGUGUGUGUAUAUAGGUGUGUGUAUGUGUGUGUGUGUGUAUACAUAUGCACAAUGAAAUGCCCUUAAUGAGAUGCCACAAAGAUAUAAAAAUAUAUUUGUGACUGCAACAAUCUACUCAGAUAUGUGUAUGUGUGGGGGUGGUUGUGAAGGUAUUGGGGUUGUUUUUAUUUUCUUUUUAAUUCUUUUAUUUUAAACAUCAAAAAAAAGUCUCUUCUUUUGUUUGCAUGUAUAUAUAUGCAUGUAUGUAUUUAUAGGUAUGUGUGCAUACACACACACACAUAUCCAUGUGCAUGUAUUUGUCUACUCUAAGAUGGUUCUUGAGAGAAUUAUUCUAUCACACACAAAUUAAGUGUUUAUGUAUAUAUAUAUAUAUAUACAUACAUACACAAACACACACAAACACUACCUUCUACUCUUUUGUGUGUUGAAACAAAAUAAACACAUUUAAAUUUGCUUCUGCAUACUCGUACAUGUAUGAGCUUUCCAAAAUCUUCUUAUUGAUAAGAUAACUUUUACGACUCAAUGGAUUAACAGGCAACUUUGUUUCAUUUUUAAAUGACAAUUUUUGCAACUUUUCCACAGCCAAGCAACUUCUCUUGUACCUACUCUUUACAGUCAAUAUUCUGUGCCUGAACAAUUGGUAACCUAGCAAUUGUUGUUGCUUAUAUAUUGAUCUAGCUACUUUUGUUGCUUCUUUGUUGCCAUAACAAUCUCUGCUGUACAUACUCUGCACAGUCAAUUUAACAUGACUUAACAAUUAUUAUUGAUCUAGCGAGAUCAGUUGCUUCUGAAUUGACUUAGUAGGUUUUGAUACCCCCAGGUGGAUGUAGAAACUUCUGUUGUUCCUAUUCUUUACAGUCAAACUUAAUGUGACUCAAAAACUCUUGGUCUAGCAACUUCAGCUGUUUCUAUUCUGUAGCAGUGUAUGCUCCCAUGUUGAUCUAGCAACUUUUGUUGCUUCUACUUUGACCUGGCAACUUGUGCUGCUGCUUCUACAAUUUCUGAUGCCUUCUACCUCUCACCACUCACACACCUUGUCUUUAGAAAGCAACUUAUGGUUCCUUCUCUGUUUCUGUUUUUGGUUUAGCUAAGCAACUUCUGUCUUACCUUUAUUGUUCUAAAGCAACUUGUAUUUCAAAAAUGAUUUUCACUUUACCUUUUCCAAAGCAACUUCUAUUUCCCUAAGGCCACUGUUAUUUCCUAAAGCAAGUCUUAUCUUCCUCCUCCUCCAGCAUCCUCCUUCUCUUUCCCACUUCUCUCUCUUUCUCUCCACAUUCUGUUCUUUCCCACAAUUCUAUUUUCACUGAAAUAAAUUCCAGUGAAAUUUAUUUUGUCCCUUCAUAUAUAUAUAUAUAUAUAUAUAUAUAUAUAUAUGUAUGUAUUAUUGUUUUGUUUAUUGCCUUCUUCAUCCAGCACCACCACCACUAUCACCAUCAUCAUCAUCACCACCAUCAUCAUCAUGUUGUUGUUGUUGAUGAAAUAAAAACUCAGUGAUCUCUUAAUUAUCCAAAUUUUUGCUUUAUUUCAUAUUUUUGUUAAUUUUUUUUUUUUUUGGUUUUUGCAUUUUAUUUAUUCAUUGUUCAUUUUUGUUUUUUGUGCUGCAUGUUUUAAAUUUUAAUUUACCCCCUUCAACCACCACCACCUCCACCGCCACCAUUGGUUGGUCUGCUACAAAAAGCAACCAAACCUUCUUCAAAUCAUACCCAUACCAUUUAAAAGAGUAACACACACUGGAUAAUGUUAUCUAAUUGUACAUUAUUAUGCCUGAGGAAAAGGUAGGGAUGGUCAAGGGGAUGCCUUCGAUUAAAUGCCUACUGGAUUAGAAUUUACCUGAGGUUAAACAACAACUACUACUACUACAAUCACACUGAGAAUAAGGAGUUUCUAAGUGGUUGCCAAAUUAGAAGUAGCAGCUAAUUCUCCCUCAAAUCACUCCCAAUCAUCUUAAAAAGAAAAAGAUGCAUAUAAUAAUAUAAUCUUACAAAGCUUGUAAAAAAAAAGAUGAGAUGGUCAUGGUUGGUGUGUCUAUGAUCUACUCAGAGUUGACUCAGGGUUAAACAACAACUGCUACUUACAUAAACACCAUCACCACAAUUACAUCCAACAUCAUCACCACACUACCACUACAUCCUCCCAUACCCACUCACCAAUAAACUCCCUACUUAGGCUUCUCUCACCCCUAGUUAAGUCAAAUCCACUAGUUCUCUGCUAAUCUGAGCAAUGGACCAAAUGUAUUGCACUUCUGAAGCGUACCACUUUACAUCAUGAGAUUAAUUCUAGAUGAAGUCAACUUUUAUUUUUACCCUUCCAGGAUUUGGGUACCAAAAUUCUAAUUUAGGUUGCUUUCUGGAAUUUAUGUUAGCUCUUUGUAUUUUGUGUUCAAAUCCUGUUGGGGCCUACAUGAGUUGUAGAUUUAAUCUAUCUCCUGAUUCUCCUAAUAUAAAAGCCAUCACCCAGUACUUGAGUAGCAGACCCCUCUGCAUAAUAAGUAUUUGAGGUAGGUCUCAGGUUUAAGGAUAACUUCUACCUUCUCUCCCUAGCACCAGUCUCAGAGAUAGCUUUGAAAACAUCAUGAGCACUGUCCUUCAGCAUGACUAUGAUGAUGUAUGUGUGUGUGUGUGUGUGUGUGUGUGUGUGUGUGUGUGUGUGUGUGUAAGCAUGUUGAAUAAAUAAAAUGGAUUGUAUAAUAAAAGUGGAGAUGGUCACAUUAUCUCACUGCAAUGCAUAUUAUCACAUAUGGCAAUACAGAGUAAUGGACAUGGUUUGCUUUACUCAUUAGGAAUGGUAAAAUGCAAAAUGAUGUUUAUCUAUGGAGGCUUUUGGACACUACAUUUGAUUGGUAUUAUAUUGUUUGAGAGAUAAGAAAAUGACAUGCAAUCCAGCUUGAAUGUAAUGGUAUGGAGUGCUACUGGGCUGUAGAAAUGCCCAGAUAACCUCCAUACCCUACGGGGUGACCAAAUUUAUUUUAUAAAUUAGAAAAUGGAGUGUCAGUACCCAUCACACCUAUGGCUGUUAUAGUCUUUCUUUCCUAGACCAGUAGAUUGAUGGAUUGUUGCUCAGCCUCAGCAUCUGUUACCCAAUGCUUGCAGGAACAAAGAUGGGCAAGGGUGAUAACCAGGAUGUACGAUUCAAAUAUAGUUCAUGUUUAAGUGUGGACACACAUCUAUGUGUGAUCGCCACCAAAGAUGCUCAUAGUCCUGGUGAUGGUUUCAAACCAAGGUAGUGGUGGUAUGUUGACCUUACCUUCCUUGUAAUUCUGUUUUCAUCAUUGCUUUUACUCUCUUGCACUCCACUACUGUUCUGCCUUUGUUCCCCCCCUUUUAGAGGUAACUUCUUAAGUUCAACUGUUCACAGCACACUCACAACUAUAGGUACAUGUAGUUAUAUGCAUCGAUACUCCUACACACACACACACACACACACACACACACAUAUAUACCCAGUUUACUCUGUAAAGUGGUUGGUGUUAGGAUCACAUCCAGUCAUUGAAACCAAAUGAAACUUAUGAGCAACAUGCUUAGAAAAGCUGCAACAAUCUGUCCAGCUUAUACCAGCAUGGAAAGCAGAUGUAAAAUAAGGAUAAUAUAUAUAUAUAUAUAUUUUCUAAAUGAUUAAUACAGAAGACAAAGUGUACUGGAAGCAUUAUUUAGGACAAGAUUCAUUUUGGCUUCCUUCUACACUGCUCUCUAGUGGGUGGGGAACGAUGUAAAAGAAUUGAAAUACAACUUAUAUAUAUAUAUAUAUAAAUAAUGUUGAUACAUACUCCCACAUACAUAUUUAGAUAUGCAUACAGAUAGAUACAUGUAUAUGUGUGUGUAUGUAUGUAUAUAUAUAUAUAUAUACAUACAUACACACACACACAUAUAUAUAUACAUACACACUCAUUUGUGUAGUAAAAUGAAUGGUGGGUUGUGGCUGGAGGUUUAUGAUGAGAAGUGGAGAGUUGUAGUGCAGUGUCAGGGUUCAAAUCAAACACACAACUUCACACUCACCACACUUCAUCCCAGACCACAGUGUCACAGUGAUAGCAGCUCCCUGUCAAACCACUCCUUUUCAGCAUCACCUCAGUCAUAGCUCCCACCAUAUUGCCUUCAACACUGCAACUACAAACCACCACCACCACCACCACCACAUAUUGCCAGUAUUAAUACUAGAGUCACUCUAUCCAAUGACACCUCAUUGACUGCUAUCAUCCUGGGAUUCACUGCAAAUAGGAAAAAGAUGUGAUGGCCAUUGCUGGAAUUCCUUUGAUUAUAGGUUUGUUCAAUAAGGACUGAUAUGGGCGAAACAACAACAACAAAUACUACCAUUACAGCUUCUACUAACACCACCACUAAAACUACUACCCAUCCCCUUCCUCUUCAUCUUCACCCUCUUCCAAUUAUUCAAAUGUCGUGCGUCAUCUGAGGGUUUAUAUAGAUAUAUAUAUUUAUUAAAAACUAAAACAGGCAAGGAAAAGUGUGUGUUGUUUGAGUGUGAGUGCAUCACUGAUGUAGGGUCAUGCCCAUAGCCAAAUGAGAACUAUCAGAUCAUUGUUGUGGUUCAGUACUAGAGUUUGGAAGAGGGAACUCUGAAAGUGAACAUGUUCAUUAGUCUUAUGAUAUAGUCUCAUUCACAAUCAACACGUUCACCACUCUUUAUGUCAUCUGGUUAUUAGUUAACAUGUUCACAUAAGCUGCAGUCUGAAUUCUUUUCCACUAGCCUUAUAAUACCAUCUGGUUCAUAGUUGAUGUGUUCACAUAACUGCAGCUUCAUGCAGAGAUAACACGUUCACUGAUCUUGUGUUAUAACUGCAUUCAUUUAACAUGCUUACAUAAGCUGCAGCUAGCUGUAUAGUAAAAUGUUUAUGAGCCUUAUGGUGCAAUCUGAUGCACAGAUCACAUUUUGUACACUGCAGUGAGAUGCAUAUUCAACAUGUUUACCCGUCCUGUGCUUCAGUCUAAAUGCAUCUCCAUUGAUUCUAAGCUGUGGUUUAGUAAAAAGUUAAGACAUUCAGAUGUUGUUUACUGCAGUCUAGUGCACAAUGGAUUUGUUAUUCAGUUCUAUGUUGCACAUUGAACAUGUUUGCAAGUUAUAUGCUGCAGUUUAGUCUGGUGCACAGGGAAUAUGAUGAGACUUUUAACACUGGACUCCAAAUAAUGCAUUUCAGAGCUGUUAUGGUGCUUAGACUGUAUUUGGUACAACUAUCAAAUAGAUGAUUUACCUAACAGCUAUGUUAACAUUACUACAAUACUACAAUAACUUUUAAUAUAAUGUGCACUGCACUUGUUUCAAAAAUACAAUCAAUAUAUACAUAUUUCACUAUGAAUACAUAUGGCUCUUAUUCAUAGUUAAUAUUUGUAAAGGUGUCAUGUUGCAGACUGCUGCACAUUUCAGCAUUCACUACUGAAGUCUUAAGAACAACCAAUAAGCUACCUGUUGCAUUAGUGGUUUACACAGUUAACACCUGCUAAAUGUGUCGGUGACAGUCACGUGUGUAUCUAGGUCUAUAAUCAUAAUUUAGGUGCACAAGUGUUGCAGUGAAGCCAUCGUUAGGUGCCAUGAUACAGCAAACCUAUGAUCAAAAGCAUUCCAAUCAUGACCCUUCCUUCUUAUUUUAGACAAACUUCAUGUAGGGCCACAUUAUCCAGUAUCUCCUCCUAUGCUGUUUUUCCUCAGAUCAUCCCUGAUCUAUCAGACCUGUAGUUGAAGGCAUUCCAUCCAAGACCAUCUCACCAUAUUUUCAGAUAAAGUGCAUCUUGGAUUGUAUUAUUCUUUGUUAUUUUUUUUUAACCCUUUCAGUGCCACUUCCCUUAAACAAACCUCUGAGUUUAUGAUGACAAAAGCCAGUUUAAAGUGUUCAUAUUGUUAGUGGUUAGGGUGUUACACUCAUGAUUGCAAGAUUGUGGUUUCAGUUCCUGAACUGGGCAGUGCAUUACAUUUUUGGGUUGAAACAUUUCAUUUCAUGUUGUUCAAGUCCACUCAGAUGUCAUUGAGCAACACUGUGGUGAACUGAUGUCCUUGUUCAAGGCAAAUAUUGUAAUCUCAGUCACUUACAUCCCAUGGAAACUGAGUUACUGGCCAUAGGAACCCUAGUGGUUGAUGAUGUUGAUGAUGAUGAUGAUGAUAUAUCACUUUGGGACAUAAGUGGGGUGAUGGGGGUCAUCUAGGUGUGUAGCAUCUCCCUGAGACAGAAGCAGAAUUGAGGAGCAUGUGUCUGGGACAGAUGUAAGACAUCACUCUGAAGCAGGAGUGGCUGGUGAUGAAAUGGUGUGUGAGGUUGAAAUUUCACUGCAGAGUAAGAAGGGUUGUUAGAAUCAAUAGUUGGAUGAGGAAGGAAGCUGCUAGAAUAUAUAACAAGAUGGUUGUGAUGGUGGUGGAGGAGGAGGAAGAGGACCAUAAGUAGUAAGGAGGUUCAAUGAUUAUUGUUUAAACAACAUAUGAAGUUACUGCAGAGAGUAUAACUUCAGUGCAGACACUCAGUACAAGGACAGACAGCUUACAUACCAGAUGGGAGGUACCCACCCCAAUUAUUUUAGUAUAGGCUGAAGUACAUUAUCUCACUGUAAUGUAUAUUAUCACAUAUGGCAAUACAGAGUAAUGGACAUGGUUUGCUUUACUCAUUAGGAAUGGUAAAAUGCAAAAUGAUGUUUAUCUAUGGAGGCUUUUGGACACUACAUCUGAUUGGUAUUAUAUUGUUUGAGAGAUAAGAAAAUGACAUGCAAUCCAGCUUGAAUGUAAUGGUAUGGAGUGCUACUGGGCUGUAGAAACGCCUAGAUAACCUCCAUACCCUACGGGGUGACCAAAGGUCAUGAUGUUUGAAGGGAGCACAGAAUCUUUCAUCUUUCAAGAGAAGGGUCAUAUUGGCUGACUGCUAACCCUAAAAAUAUAGAGUUCAAAUCCCCGUCAUGUGCUGACUGCCCAAAGUAUAAGCCGAGUGACCAUAAUAGACACAGGUUCAAAUUAAUUAUUGGUUAGAAUAGGAGAUUAACUGCCCCUAGGGAUAUUGGGUCAGGUUAAAAGUUAUGAUUGUCACUCUCAGCUGCUUUAAGAGCAAUAUAUAUCAUCCUCAUCAACAUCACUAUUUCUAUAAUAAUUAAUUGUCACCAAACCAAACAGCAUUUUUUUUUUUUGCUCAAUAUCUUAGAAACUGCAGUUAUAUAACCCUCAAACUGAAUUCAGUCAUUGAAAUAAGAGAUAGCUUUAAUAUUGUAAUUCUUAAGAUGUGCCUAAAAGUACAGGGUCACAACUGGAAAGCCAAUGAUCAGUUGAGUGCUUGGUCAUGGUUGAUUUAGGGCUCAACAACAAUAACAACUGCCACUGCCAAUUCCAAUAGAACCAACUGUUAAAGUUAGCAAAUUUCCAUUUUUGUCUUUUUUCUCCAUUUUUAAUGAUUUUUAAAUAUAAAUAAGGACAUUACCAAUUGCAGUGAUUUUAGUGUAAAUGUGUAUGCAUACACAAAACACACAGAGCCACGCACACACACACAUGUAAACAUUGUGCAAUCCCUGAACAUCCAUGAAAGCAAGGGUCAUUUGUAUUAGUAGGAAUCCAUUCAGUGACAUCAGAGACAAACAAGAUGUUGGAAAUGUUUUGUUUGGUGGAUGAAGUAUUCUGUUGUCUGGGUGUAUAAUAAGAAAGUUAUACGAUACAUUCCAUUUAGCAUUUUAGAUCACGUAUUUACACACACACACAUAUAUAUAUAUAUAUAUAUAUAUAUAUAUAUAUAGAUUGCAUAAUCACCAGAAUUUCAAGUGUACUACUGCUGCAGGUUGGAAAUUUGAUAAAGUGUGGAUUGAGUUUGCAUGUGUAUCUUCUCUUAUAGAUUUCACUUGAUCAAACUUUUAUGAAUGAAGCUUAAAAGUAGAAUACAUACACAUGUACACAUACACACACACACGAGGCUGGGUGAGUGGCAGAAUUGGGUGAGUGUUGAACAAAAUACCUUGUGAUAUUUGGCAUGGCAUUUCUUUGCCUUCUGAAUUUAAAAUUCUACUCCUGCUAACUUUGGCAUUCAUUCUUAAAAAGGUUAAUGAAAUAAUUAAACAAGAGGUGAUACAAUUAAUUAAGUCUACAAAUGUAGACCCCAUUGUAUGGCUGUGGUCCAAUGACUGAAACUAGUUAUAGAAUAUAUAUAUUCUUUGACACUCACCCACACACACACACACAUAUAUACACCCAUACACACAUUUAUGCAUGAAUGGUGGAACUGGUAGCAUGUUGGACAAAAUACUUUGUAAGUAUUUGGUGUUAUUCUAUGUUCAAAUCCCGUCCAGGUGGACUUUGCCUUCCAUUAUUUCAAGAUCAAUAAGAUUAGUAGCAGUGAAGCAGACUGAUGUAAGAUUUAACCCUUAAAAAAGGUGUCUCUGCUUUGCUAGUUUAAUGAUUGAUGCCAGUACAAUAUCAGGUGUGUGUGUCUAUAUAUAGGUAACUGUAUGAUUAUAGCCAUACCAUAAUUCCAUGCAGUCAUCAAAAUGGAUAAAAAAAUACAAUUGGUGGAUGUGAGGUAGUAAUAGAAAAGAUGACUAGGCAGCUAGUCAUGUGAUAUGUUUUUGUCAUGUGAUAUAUGAUGUCAGUGAAGGUGUGUGGCAUAGUGGUUAGGGUAUUCAGCUCACAGUCAUAAGGUCAUGAGUUUGAUUUUCGGAGGCGUAUUGUGUUCUUGAGCAAGAUGCUUUAUUUCACGUUGCUCCAGUCCACUCAGCUGACAAAAUGUGUGUACCUGUAUUCCAAAGGGCCAGCCUUGUCACACUCUGUAUCACGUUGAAUCUCUCUCUCUCUGAGAACUAUGCUAAGGGCACACAUGUCUGUGGAGUGCUCAGCCACUUGCAUGUUUAUUUCACAAGCAGACUGUUCUGUUGACCAGAUCAUCUAGAACCCCCUCAUUGUUGUAACCAAUGGAGGACCAAUUUUCUUUUUAUGUGAUGUAGCGAUUUGUCCAUUUCUCAGUAGGUUCUAUUUUCGUUCAUUAGUAUAUAUGUGUAUAUAUAUGAUUAUAUAUAUAUUGUGUUUGUCAUGAGGAGCUCUCAGCUCAAGUCUUAUGUUUAAGAUAGUUGUUUGAGAGUACAGUGUAUAAUAAUUCUUUUCUAAACAGAGACUGUAUUUCUGAAAGGUGCUGCUACACACGCACACAAAUAUAUAUAUAUAUAUAUAUAUAUAUAUAAUGGAUAGUUAGAGAACGAUAUAAAUACAAAAACGUACACUUGGUUGUGUAUCAUGUAUGAUAACAUUUAGACUGUUGUGUAUAUAGGCACACACACACACACACACACAUAUAUGUUUAAUCUUAAUUAUCAUGUCAUACCCUCCGAGGGUCACUGCAGCAGGUUAUGUACAAUCCAAUGCUGAGCUAUGCCAACUAAUGUAGGGACCUAUAUUAUCCAUCGUAAAUGGGGGCGCCAGUGAGAAACCUGGAAAACUCUUUGUCAGGAACAUGUCCAAACAUAACAGUAUUAAUUUGUCCUCCUCUUCUUUCAUCUCGCUCCCUCUCCCCUCAUUCCCUGCAUCUCUUGCCAACUGACGCAGCUCUUUACCACAACUUCACAUCUCUCUUCCCUUGUCUUCUAUCCAUGUUUUAUUCAUUGACACCAUCAUUAGGGUUUCAUUCAAUUGGGGUGAGGUGAAUUACGUGUGUUACCAGGGAAUAUGUUUCAUAUGUGGGCCAAGAUAUUUACCUCAUUGAUAGCCAACUUUACUUUGCUGUCAAUUGGUGCCACAAGGUCGUCUGUAGCUCAUUAUUGUAGAAUGAGAUAGCAUUAUAAGGUUGUUGAGGGCUUCAGUACAUUACAUUUUUAGAUUCUGGCCAUAGCAGAUGCUGCAAGAAACAACAAGGUCCAUAUGGUCAAUUCUGUCUCCACCACACCAUAGGGCAGAUUUGAACUAAAGGAAAAAAAAAUCUUAAACUGAGUUCUGAUGUUUCAGGUUAAACAUUAAGCAGAUUAAUAUCCAGAAGGACACGAAAAAUCUAUAGGAACUGCACUGCCUUUUCAAAUGACUAAUACACACACACACACACACACACACACGUGCUGUUCUCUUUCUUGCAUACCUUACUACUGUAGAAUACACACACUCCUCCCUCUUAAGCACACACACAUACAUACACUCACACAUUCAUAGCCCAACACACAUAAGCCUAUAUCAAUCCAUAAAACUGGUGAGAAGUAUAGAAGCUAUGAACAUUGGCAAGCUGAGUCUUAGGUCAUAGCUUCAUCUCCCAGAUGUAUAAAAUUUACUUUAAAUCACUAAUGUUUUUUUUAUGAUAGACAUAAACACCGCACAUGUUUAUCUCCUUCUUUGCAGUCUAAAGCAAGGCUUAGACACUAUGUAAAAGAUCAAUGAUUAUCUGUUAGGACACCUGAGUGAGGGUGGGAGAUGGGAAAGCUUGUGUGUCAGGAAGAGAGAGAUAUGUGAGGAAGGAAGAGACAGGUGCAAGUGUGUGAGGUAAGAUUGCAGGAGGGAGACAGCAAUAACAUCAUUAUAAACAUUGUGUUCUAAGGACUAAUGUGAAGAGGUUGCAAGGAUGAGUGUAAAAGGAUCAGAACAAAUAUGUAACUGGCAUUUUAAUGCAGUGAACCCAUAGCUCUUGUUAGAGAGAUCUAGAGGUGACUCAAUCCAGCCUCAAUAAUAUUUGGACUAAGAACAGUGAAAUAUCAAAGCAAAGACAUCAAUACACAUUUAGUCUUACCUUGCUGGAGUUUUGUGAUGGUGCAUCUUGUUGGUUAACUUGAUUGUAUUAAUUUCUGGUGCUUCAAAAGGCAUCACCUUGUUACAAUAAGGAUAAAAAGUUGUUUUUGUUUUAUUUUGAGCUCCACCAGGUUCGAUUUGAAUUUGGCUAGUAAGUUGGUAUUCAACAUCGAAUUUUAUAUAUAUAUGUGUGUGUACAACAGAUUUCACUAUCAGCUGUAUCAACUGCAUCAGUUGAUGAUGAUGAGGAUGAUAUUAAUCCCAAAUAAUUAUGACACUCAUUACAAAGUGUAAAAGUGGGGAUUAUAAGAAUCCAUAUUGUUUUCCUGCUAUCUUCAUAAGGAUUAAUAAUGAUGUUAUAAUGGUAUCGUUAUUAGCAUAAUUGUAAAGGGAUGAGCUGGCAGAAUUGUUACUAUGCCAGAGGAAAUGAUGCUUAGCAGCAUUUCUGCCAACUUUUAUGUUCUGAGUUCAGAUCCUUUUCAUCCUUUGGAGAGGAGGGGUGUCGAUAAAAUAAGUACUGGUUGAGCACUGGGGUUGAUGUGAUUGACUACACAAAUCCUCAAAUUUGUUGGUCUGGUACCACAAUAAGAAAGGAUUAUCAUUAUAUUUCAGAUAGAAAUAAUGCAAUUUGCUGGGAACAAAAGUAAAAUCACACCAGUAAUUAUUGGAGAACUUAGUAAUAUCAUAAUAAAAGCAUGAACAAAAAGAUAUUGUGACUUAUACCAUAACAAACACUUUUAGACAAAAACCUUCCUCUAUUUCCUACAAAAACAAAAGCAGUAGACACUGCAAAAGUUGUGAAUCAGAUUUUCACUACUGCAAUAACUUUAUAUAGCAUAUAUUCUAUACCAGAUCAUUUAUGCAAUAACACAUUGUACACAACAUAUUAAAUGUGCAAGUAUAAAACAAUAUUGUACACACCUGAGGAUGAUACAUGUAACUGGGGAUAGAGUUACAAAUUUACAUGAACACUUGAAAAAACACAAUAAUAACGAUAACGACAAUAAUUGAUGAUGAUGAUGAUGAUGAUGAUGAUGGUGAUGAUGAUAGCAAUAAUAAUAAUAAUAAUAAUUUAUGAUAAUGAUAAUCUAAAUUAAACAUUGAAUCUCCCAAAGACUGUUUUUGUUUGAUGGGCAUAUAGAACUAAUGAUAAAUCUUGGUGAAAGAAAACAAAUAUUACAAUCAUGAUAAUAAUAAUAAUAACAACAACAAAACAAAUUAUACUAAAAAUAAAGAAAAAACAAUAAUAUUAAUACUAAAGUUCACCAAAAAUAAUACUUUUAAUAAACCUUUCCAUUUCAUUAUUGGGUAGGAAGGGGUAUCAAUAUUUAGAUAAGCCUUUCUUAUAUUUUGUAAAUCUUGUUUCAUUUUUGUGUGUAUAUAUGGAAGUGUGUGUGUGUUUGUGUCUGUGCGUGCAUCACUUUUAAUUUUUAAGCUUGUUAUUUUUGUUUAUUUUUUCCUGUACGACUCUCUAAGGAUACAAUGUGACAAAAAAAGUAAAUAAAUAAAAAGAAUGACAACAAUAUUAAUAAUAAUGAUAAUGAUAAUAAUAAUAUUGAAAAUGAUAAUGAUUCAAUGUGGGAAGGCUUGUUGGAAUAGCUAUCGAAAAAAUGCAAAAAAAAAAAACCCAGAAAAAACAAAAAUCAACCUACAUGAUAUGAAUUUUUUUCAAAAAAAGCCAUAGAUAUAUUCAUUUGAAUUUCUUCCUAAUUUAUGCAAUGUUCUGACAGCAAUUUUGUGCCUAAAAUUUAUUAAGUUGCAUUAUCGAAGAAAGGAAAUUUAUUUAAAAAAAAAAUCAUGAUGAUGAUAAUAAUAAUAAUUAUUAUAAUCAUUAUUUCUAAAAAC
rnacentral:lncRNA from 1 species